CUAGAAAAUCACACACAUCAAGUAUUACACUUAUAUCUAAUUAUAUAUAUACUUAGUCUAGACUAUUUUAUAUUUACAGCAUUUGUGAUAUUACUUUCUUAAUAACUGUAUUUAAACUGGAGCGCCCGGAGUUUUACCCACCACUUUUGGCAGAGCGUUGACUCGCUUUUUUCACAUGAGUCCAAAGCGAGAAUCGACCUGAAGAUAAAUUCAUGUUAGAUACAUGCAUGUAAUGGAACAUUUUAGCAUUAUCCGCCCAGUGCUCCCACAUUGCGGAGUCGAAGAUAAUGACCAUGAACAUAAUAACCAUGCAUGCCUUGAAACACAAUAUAAAACACAUAGCUAACUAAAAGCCAUGGCCAACUAUUUAUUAAUAAAGUGUUUAGUCUAGUCUAGUUUAGUUUAGUUUAGUUUAAUGAAUUUGCCAUAUAUUACAUAAUCAUCAUUAUAACUAUAGUCUAUAAGUAUAUGACAGGAGUUUGAACAGGACUUGCGUCCCAAUUGCAACAGAACCCUUUACAUAAAACUCCAAAAAUAUAUUGGCGAAACAACAAUAAAUUAUAAAGUCAAAUAAAUAAAUAAAUAAAUACACUUAUUUAUGUAUUUAUAUAUUUAGUAUUAUGUAGAUAAUACUAUACUAAGGAGGAUUAGAUGAAUAAAAUUAAAAGUUAUAAAUGGCUUCGGAAUGUUCGAAUGGAUUUGCACUGUUUCACCUGAGAUGGCAAAGUGUUCCAGAGUUCGGCUGUUUUUU